rnacentral:rRNA from 1 species
GAGUUUGAUCGUGGCUCAGGAUUAACGCUAGCGGCAGGCAUAAUACAUGCAAGUUGAACGAGAUAAGCUGUAGCAAUAUGGCUUUGAAAGUGGCGCACGGGUGCGUAACACGUAUGCAACCUACCUUUUACAGGGGGAUAGCCUCUCGAAAGAGAGAUUAAUACCCCAUAAUAUAUUUGUUGGGCAUCUAAUGAAUAUUAAAGCUGAGGCGGUAAAAGAUGGGCAUGCGGCUGAUUAGCUAGUUGGUGGGUAAAGGCCCACCAAGGCGACGAUCAGUAGCUGGUCUGAGAGGACGAUCAGCCACACUGGGACUGAGACACGGCCCAGACUCCUACGGAGGCAGCAGUGGGGAAUUUUGGACAAUGGGGGCGAACCCUGA